GAGAUUUUUAGGUUAAUGAAAAGAGCUGCUAACUCUUAACAAGGCGGUUUAACUCCGUCUAAAUCUUU
rnacentral:tRNA from 1 species